GAUGAACGCUGGCGGCGUGCUUAACACAUGCAAGUCGAACGAUGAAGCCCAGCUUGCUGGGUGGAUUAGUGGCGAACGGGUGAGUAACACGUGAGUAACCUGCCCUUGACUCUGGGAUAAGCCUGGGAAACUGGGUCUAAUACUGGAUAUGACUUCUCAUCGCAUGGUGGGGGGUGGAAAGAUUUAUUGGUCUUGGAUGGACUCGCGGCCUAUCAGCUUGUUGGUGAGAUAAUGGCUCACCAAGGCGACGACGGGUAGCCGGCCUGAGAGGGUGACCGGCCACACUGGGACUGAGACACGGCCCAGACUCCUACGGGAGGCAGCAGUGGGGAAUAUUGCACAAUGGGCGCAAGCCUGAUGCAGCGACGCCGCGUGAGGGAUGACGGCCUUCGGGUUGUAAACCUCUUUCAGUAGGGAAGAAGCGAGAGUGACGGUACCUGCAGAAGAAGCGCCGGCUAACUACGUG
rnacentral:rRNA from 1 species